rnacentral:lncRNA from 1 species
UCUAUCUUCAUUAUUUUUCUUAUUUUUCUUAUUUCCCAUGCUGUUAACUUUCUUUCUCUAUUCCGUUCAUCAUCAAUUCUUCACCAUCAUCAUCAAUCGCCCAAUUCAACACUUAUUCUCAGAAUCUUCAUCUUAGGCUGGCUUCCAAAUAUGAAUGAUAUUUUCUACAUUCAUGGUAGUUUGCUGAGAAGAUUUCAUCUAUUUAUCUAAUCUUCAUCGAAUUCGGCAACACCUUGAAUGUGGCAGCAUUGAUGUUCCAAUCGCAGCUUUAUGUGAGUCUCUCUUACUCUUCUUCCUUUUUUCCUCUGGCAACUUAUUAUUGUGUUGCGUGUGAGGUGUUUGAUAAUUUGACUCAAUGAAAUUUUACUCUAUUAUUUUGCAAUUGUGUGCUUAUCCAGGAAUUAGGUGGAUGAACUGUUAUUUCCGUAUUAGACGAUGCCACUGCCGUGUGAGUAUCUCCCAACAAAUUUGUUUAAAUUUCAAAAUGAUCCUUUAAAUUGAAAAUCUUCGUUCACGUAUGUGAUAUUUUGAACUCUCCACCGAUGCAAAGUGAGUCUGAAGGUAAAUAUUAUUGUCCCCCUUGUUUCCAUUAUGUCUGUAUGUUAUCUACAUCAAUAGGUAUGUACACACUGAAUAUAUAUAUACAGAAAAAUAAUUUUUGCUGCACCAACGGUAGAUAAAAGUGAAAUACUGGCUCUUGUAGGCGAUAAGAUGGAUUCUUUGAUCCUUUAUAAUCUAUGAUUAAAUGGUUGCGUUAUUGAUGAGUCAUAAUUAUGCAUUUCGCAUUGAACUUAGGAAUAAAACGAUUAAUUCUUAAAUCAAGUAGAACUUCUCUUUCAUGAAUGUUGUGUUCAAUAAUCGGUGAUUAGCUAUUUGAAAGUCAUCACUGCAUUUGUUGGUAUCAUAUGAAGUUGUCCAUGAUGGUGAUUAUGAUCUGUUCAAUUUUAGGGCUCAUUCUAUUUCUAUGCAUCCUGAUAACUUAUAUGGGCAUAUGCAGAAUUACUGAAGUGUCCACGAAAAUAGAACCAGUGCAGGAGAAAAAAUAAAGAGCUUAGCACAAAUAGGAUUUUUGAAGUUAUUUAGUGGUUGCCUUAUCGCAUUUGAAGGUUUGCAGGUUAUUUCUUUGUUUACCCUUUGAAUCUCUUUGAUAUUGCUGAAUAAUAACUGUAGUCUCUUAGAUAGAUCUACUCAAUAGAUAAAACUUGGACAAAGUAAAGUAUAUGCAAAAUCAGAACUCUACCAAAUCCACCAACUUCCAAUAGCCCCUUUUCCAUGAAACCCUUUGUAGCAAAGUAUAGAUCUUUGAACUUAAAUCUAUGAGGGCCAUAUUCAUGUUCCCAAUCUUCAAGAAUCUCAGCAAACAUCUUCCGUUUGAUAUAAUAUAUAACCCUAAAGUUAUCAUGAAUAGCGAACUAAGCAAAAUCAAAGGCAACCCAACAGUUAAAAAUUUAGACUUUUUUUUUUCUCAUCAAAUAUACUUAGCUCAGGAGCAAAUAUUCUUGGCUCAGGAAGUUCAGAGAUUUCAAGGUUUUGAGCUUGGCUAUUAACCUUAAAACUCCAACCAAGAAUAUAAUGAGAAGCUACAAUUAACCCUGUUGAAGAUGAGAAUCCAACAUACAUUCUAUUGUUGAGUAUUGGAGAAAGAUCUUUGGUCAAUGAUAACAAAGGUUGUGUUGGUUUAUCACUAAAACCAACACUAAUUGGAGCUAAAGUAACAUCAUAAUAUCCAUACCUGCAUAUCCACUGGAAAGGGAUAAAUUCCUGAAUCCAUAAUCAUCAUAAUAUCCUGCAGGAGUUGAAUUAGCUGAUUUCAAAUCAUUGAUAUCAAUACCAAUAUGGUUAUCAUUGAUUUCAUCAAACUCAAAAUUUUGAUCAGUGUCAAGCUCAAUACCAAAAACAUGGCUGCUACUGUUUCCAUUGUUGGAAUUGUUAGAGACCAAGGUAUUAAUAUUGUAGUGAAUUUGGUAGCCCUUUUGUAGGUGAAAUAACAAAAACAAUUCCAUGGCCACUAUGAGUUGGAUAUUAAGAUUUUAUAGCAAAUAAAGAAUUAGUUGAGAAAGAAGACACACUUUCACUGAGUGUUUUUGAAAACUAUAGGAUUUGGAUAGAAAGCAUUGCCAUCAAGAUAUAAAUGUGAUGAUUGGAAUCCACUUUAUUUAUAGAUAAAGCAACAUGAACACAAGUCUGAGGAACAUGAUUAUAGUUUGAGAAUGAAUCAUGCUUCUGUAGUUCUGUUCGAGUGUUCGGUGUUUAUUAUUUAUAAGAUUUUGUGCUAAGUGAAGGAAAAAUUGCAUGUCUAAUUCGGGUCCUACUAAGAAAUUUCCUAGAACCUAGCUACGAAUUAUUACUAAAAGAAACAUCACAUGGUUACUAAAAUUGCCUUAUCAUCUGGGUCCUACUAAGAAAUGUCUCAUUUAGUUUAGUGAAGAGAAUGUGUUAUACAUUUGAAUCACAAUUUUUUUUUAUUUUUUUUCCAACAGUAGUAGUGGGUGAAUGUUUUUUUAACAUUUACAUAUUAAGUGUUUGAUGCUAAAUUGAAUAUGUGAAAUUUAAUUAUCAAUGUGUUCUAAUUUCUUAGAAUAAGUAGUGUUUUUUUUUAAUCCUGAAUGUGUGGACUUGACCAGUUACUAUUGAUUAUUGAUUAUGCUUCAAAUCAAAUGAUGAAUGAAUAUGUGGUGGAAAGAUAAAAAGAUAUAUGUUGGUUUGACUCAAUUUCAUACUCACUCCGUCUCUAAAUAUAAGACUCCUCUACAAAUUACUAAAUACAUUUAUUGCUCUUUUUUUUCCAAUAUACUAUCAAUUUAUCUAAGAAUAUGAAAAUUAACUUUGAAUGCACUUUUAUAAAAAGGGUAAUUUAGAAAUAGUAACACACAUUUCAGACAAAUUUAUUACUCGAAAGACUUUUUUUAGUACCCGUGAUUUUUGUAAAGUGUUCUUCUAAAAAAGGAUGGAGGGAAAAUUUUUCUUCAUGCAAAAAUCAUGGUGAAAUUUCGAGCCACAUGUUCCAUCGGUCACAUGUGUUGGCAAAUUGCAGGGAGAUGGAGGCAAAUCACCGGGUAAUUUACUCGUGAUUGACAGCUAUAAAAUACAAUUUUAGACCUGGUUGUUUUGCAAUCUUUCUACUCUAAAGGAGUUAAGGAACUAAUAGGGUGAGGGUUGAGUGUUUUGCAUGAUAUUCUUAUGUUGGAAAACAUCAUGAGAUCUCAUUAGAGUAAAUAUCAAACUCUUUUUCUAGUUUUCUCCUUAGAUCUCAAUUUAGGUUUUAGUGACUUGAAAAAUGGAUAGAAAUUAGAGAUUGUUCUUAUUGUCUACAAGAAUGGUAAAGGUAUUCUUUACCUAGGGCUUUGGUCAAUUUACUCUCAAAUUGUUUCAAACAAACUAAUUUGGCUGAAAUUUUUUUAAUUUCAGGGAUCAUUUUAGAAGUAUGAGUAAUUUGGUUGAAAUUCUUUUAAUUUCAGGGAGAUGAAUGGAAAAUUGAAAUUUAUCACAGCAUUCGUUGGUAAAGUAUGAAGUCGUCCAUGAUAGUGAUUAUGAUGUGUUCAAUUUUAGGGCUCAUUCUAUACAUCCCGUUAACUUAAUCUUAUAUGUGCAUAUGCAGAACUACUGAAGUGUUGAAGAAAAUCGAACGAGUAAAGGAGAAAAGAUGAAGAGCUUGUUUGAGUCUUUAGAACAAAUAUAAUUUCUGAAGUUAUUUAGUGGUUGCCUUAUUGCAUUUGAGGUUUUGCAGGUUAUUUCUUAGUUUACCCUUUGAAUCUCUGUGAUAUUACUGAACAAUAAUUGUAGUCUCUCGUUUACUCAAAAUAGAUACAAACUUGGACGCAAUGAAGUAUAUACAAAAUCAAAACAAAAAAAGUUUAAUGAGAAAAUGAUUUUAUGUAACUAUUAAACCAUUUACUCAAACAUGAUUUCACUUUUUAGAUAACAAACUCUCUUUAAUCCUUUUUACCAAAAUUUAAUACAUUACAAAAUCAAAAUGCACCAAUUAAGCAUCAAUUAGACGUGUCUUUUGAAAUCAACGACCACCCGAGAGAACAGAUUCAGCAAUUAACGCUGAAGUAUAUGGCAUUCUCCUGUCCUCAACAAAUAAUUGGUACCCAAAAGUUAAACCAGAAGAAGAUAAACUAAGCGAAGAAAAAUCUGGCAAAGGUGUAUCCCUCUCCAAAUACUGUACAACUUGUCUCAUACUUGGUCUAGCCAAAGGCUCUGAAUGUGAACACAACAAGCCAAGUUUCAACACCAAUUCCACCUCUUCAGACACAUAAUUUGUUCCUAAAUGAACAUCUUUUGCCUCAAGAAUCUCACCUCUUUGCCAACAUUCAAACACAGAAUCAACUAGAAUUAGACUCUCAUUGUCUCCUACACGACCUAUAGGCCUCCUACCACAAACAACCUCAAGAAGAAAUGCACCAAAAGAAAACACAUCAGAAAAUUUAGUAGCCUUACCUCUUCUAAUAUGUUCAGGAGCAAGAUAACCAAUAGUUCCAGCCAAAUGAGUUGUGUGAGGAUCAGCACCAUGAUCAUGCAACCUUGAAAGACCAAAAUCUCCCAAUCUAGCAUUAAAUCCAGAAUCUAACAACACAUUACUAGCCUUUAUGUCUCUAUGAAUAACAACUUUCUCCCAUUCUUCAUGAAGAUAAACCACACCUGAAGCAACACCUUUGAUGAUUCUAAAUCUUUGACUCCAAUUCAACCUCACUUUUGGUUGGUUAUAUAGAUAGUUGUCUAAACUUCCAUUCGGCAUGUAAUCAUAAACCAAAAGUAACUCGCUUUUUCGCCUGCAAUAGCCAUGAAGUUGAACAAGAUUCCUGUGCCGAAGACGACCGAUACUAACAAUUUCCGACACAAAUUCCCUCAUCCCUUGUCUUGAUUCAUGAGACACCCUUUUCACAGCAACCUCAAGUUUGGAACUUUGUAUCACACCUUUGUAGACUCUACCAAAUCCACCAACUCCCAAUAGCCCCUUUUCCCUGAAACCCUUUGUGGCUGAGUAUAGAUCUUUGAACUUAAAUCUACGUGGGCCAUAUUCAUGUUCCCAAUCUUCAAGAACCUCAUCAAACUUCUUCAAUUUGACAUAAUACAUAACCCCUAAAGUUAUCAUGAAUACCAAACUUAGGAAAAUCAAUGGCAAUCCAACAGUUAAAAAUUUCGACUUUUUUUUCUCUGCAGGUAGUUUAGGAAGUUCAGAGAUUUCAAGGUUUUGAGCUUGACCAUUAACCUUAAAACUCCAACCAAGAAUAUACUGAGAAGCUACCAUUAACCCUGUUGAAGAUGAGAAUCCAACAUACAUUCUAUUGUUGAGAAUUGAAGAAAGAUC